CACAACACAACUCUAGACACAAAUAAAAACAUACAAGCUUCAUAUUACAAGACAGGCCCCUCGAGGGCUAGAAUAUAGAAGCUUGAUAAACACACGAGUCAGCGGAAGCAACAAAUAUCAUAGUACAGACAUGAAACAUGUUAAUGCCUUAGAGAAGGCUAGCACAAAAGAUACAACGAUCGAACGAGGCGAGGCCUCCUGCCUGGGAACCUCCUAAACUACUCCUGGUCUUUAGCGGCCUCCACAUAGUAGUAGGCACCGUCGGGGUAGCAGUCGUCGUCGACAGGAUACGCCAUCUCCUGGGCUCCAUCAUGUGGUCACAACAAUCAGAUCAAGGGGAAAAGGGGGAGCAAAGCAACGGUGAGUACUCAUCCAAAGUACUCGCAAGAAUGACAUCAGAACUAUGUUAAGAAUGCAUCAGUAUCAAAGAAAGGGUUUAUGUGGACUCAGUGCAGCAAUGCGAGAAUAGAGAGAGAAGGCCUAGUCCUAUCGAAGACUAGUAUCUUCAGGGGUCUUGCAGCAAUAGACGAGAAUAGAGCAGGUAACACAAUUAAUAGUCAUAUUGUUGCAUCAAUAUUAAUUAAAUUCAUGCCCAGAGAUUCUCCCUCGACUCCGUGCGAGGAAGCAAUCCUAGAGCAAACAUUCCAGUUAAGUAACAGUUGUAGUUGUACAAGAUCGGGGCACAACUCCAAGUCGUCCUGUAACCGUGGACACGGCUAUCCGAAUAGUUAAUUUUCAUCCAUGCACAGGUGCACCAAGUUUCCCGUCAUGCUCGAUAAACUUUGACCGGACACACUUUCCUCGUUCAUGCCCGGUCUCGGAACAUCGACACGUCGCAACCCCACCUAGACUCAACAAAGAGGCCAGCCCGUCGGUCUAAAUCCUAAGCGCAUAGGGGUGAUGGGCCCAUCACCCUUUGCGCUCAUGCACGAUGCAUGGGCGGCCCAUGUCAGUCAUGGCACCUAUUAUACAAGAGCGGUGAUAAUCCAGACAAUUCGGGCGCGUACCGCUCCAUUGCUGACGUCUGAACAGAUUCGGCUGAUAGCACGACGUCGAGUACCCGUAACUUCUCCCGCAUAGCCGGUUAGUGCGAAAAGGUCUCUGACCAACCCAGAUCAAAUACCCAAAUCCUUAGCAUUUUAAUUAACUCAUCGACACAUCCACGCGGGAAUCCACCCGCCAAACAUUUAUUCAUCAAUGUUCCCAGUAACAAGGUCAAGUAACCGUGUGGCUAAAACAUUAGAACGACCCGAGGUAUCACCCUCGAUGGACUCCGAACAACGUAACCGUCAAAGUGGCCAGGGAGGAAUCACCCUCGUUGGGCCAUCUUGGGUUGUACGACAGAGUCGUUAUCGGAAGUGGUGAAGGAGGAAUCACCCUCCGUGAACCACCGUCGGUCAACUACACCACAACAAUAACAUCAGGAGUACGUAAAGAGGUGUCACCCUCGGUACUCGAUAGUAGCUCUGCAGUGUCGUACAACUAAGGGGGUGGGAGUGUUGUGUCGGGUCUUGGCUCGUCGAUCAGUUGAUCGAGACUUGACAAAAAAGUGGAGGUAAGUGGUCUAAGGGGUCGAAGGGGAUAACUGCUCCACCUAUUCUAAACAGUUUAGAAUGCGGUACAGUAAAGUAGCAGUUCAUCAAAAACAGGCUAUGCAUCAGAAUAGGAGCUAUCUACAACAGUAGCAAAAUUCUAAUGCAAACAUGAGGGAGAAAUAAUAGGCGAUAUAGGAAUGAUCAAUGGGGGUUUGCUUGCCUUGUUGCUCUGCAGACAAAAAUGGACCCUUGACCGGGAAGUAGUCGAUCACCGAAUCAUCAUCGGUCUCGGGGUCUAUCGGAAAGGAAAUAACAGAGGGGAACACAAUAAAUAACAGAGCAAUCAAAUGCAUCACAAAGUAUGACAUGGCUAUAGGUAGUGCUAGGCAUGAGCUAACGCAGUACUACACGUCUUGGACGGAUCGGGAAAAUAUCUGACGAUAUUUCCUGGGUCUCUCGCUAUUACAUGACAGGCGAAUACGAUGGAAAAUUUCCAUGUUCGCUAUACUACACACGCGUGACACAUAAACGGACAACGUAUCCGUAUUUGUCUCGUUUUUCUGAUCAACUUUCAUGUAUAAAAUAUUUUCAUCCGGAUUACAGAUUAUUUCAUAUUAAUUUUUAAAUUUUUGUUAUUUUUUUCUGAAAUUUUAUUAAAUUGAAAUUAAAUGAUUAAAUUUCUACGGGUACACACAAGUGUACCCAACAAUGUGCACAUAGACUGACAGGUAGGGCCAGUCAACUGCCGAGUCAGCAAUUGACUAGCCAACAUUGACUCGUCAAAGGCCCAGUGGGACCCAGCUGUCAUAGAGAGUAACUAAACUUAUUUUGAUUUUUUUUAAUAUUCAGGGGAACCACAUAUCAGCCGUACAUAUGAUAAUCGAGCCACUAAUUAGUCCCUAAAACUAAUCUCGUACAACCCAGCCUCACGGUUGUACAUACACACACCUACACAACACAUGGCCAUGGUCAUGGCCAUGGCCACCAGCAGCAGCAGCAAUAGACGGCAGCCAAGAGCAGCGGCAAUGCAGCUUGCAGGAGCAGACAACAGUGGCAACAGCGACAGGAGCAAGCGACACUACGGGUGCAGGGAAGAUGUGGGGCACGGGCUCGCGCAGAGUGGAGGGAGAGGAGAGGGUGGCCGGGGCCGGUGUGCUCACCACCGAGCAGGGGUGGCAGAGGCUCGAGGAGGCUCAGGCGGGGUGGUGGCAUGGUGGUACGCCGGUGGUGCAGCGCCGCCGGGGAGGACAUGUGUCGACGUGUGGCACUGGCCGAUGCGGCGACGCAGGUUGGGCAGUGGGGGCGGGGGUGCCUGUCCCGUGCGGGAUCGAGAGCGGUGGCGGGCGGGGGCUAGCGUGGUGGCGACGGGGUGGUGGUGACGUGGGAUCGGGGUGAGGCGAUGACACAGUCGCGCGGGGCGAGGGCACGCGACCAGACGCCGGCGACGGACGACGGGGAGGAGGACCGACGGGGUAGGGGCCGUGGCGUUGGGCCGGCGCGGCCGGUGUCAGGCGGGCGUGGAGAGGCCCCGAUCUGAUCUGGAUCGGGAGCGGGGAGGGGGUGAGCGAGGUGGGUGGUGAAUGGGGUGACACGGGCUGUCAGUGGGGGGUGGCCCUUUGUAGCGACGGAGGGGAGGUGGGCCGCCGGCUGGCAGGG
rnacentral:lncRNA from 1 species